rnacentral:rRNA from 1 species
GUCCACACAGCGAACGAUGAAUAUUAUGAAUUGGAUAUUAUUAUUCAGUUACCAAAGCUAACGCGUUAAAUAUUCCGCCUGGGGACUACGAUCGCAAGAUUGAAACUCAAGAAGAUUGACGGGAGCAUUUACGAGCGGUGGAGCAUGUUUGUUAAUUAGAUAUUCCGCAAAAAAAUCUUACCAGCUUUUGUACACCCAUAAUUUUAAUUACGUUUAAUAUUUAUUUUACAUGGGUACAGGUGUUGCAUGGCUGCCGU